rnacentral:misc_RNA from 1 species
GAUGAAGAACGCAGCGAAAUGCGAUACGUAAUGUGAAUUGUAGAAUUCAGUGAAUCAUCGAGUCUUUGAACGCACAUUGCGCCCCCUGGUAUUCCGGGGGGCAUGCCUGUCCGAGCGUCAUUGCUGCCCUCAAGCACGGCUUGUGUGUUGGGCCUCCGUCCUCCUCCCGGGGGACGGGCCCGAAAGGCAGCGGCGGCACCGCGUCCGGUCCUCGAGCGUAUGGGGCUUCGUCACCCGCUCUUGCAGGCCCGGCCGGCGCUUGCCGACACAUCAAUCUUUUUUCCAGGUUGACCUCGGAUCAGGUAGGGAUACCCGCUGAACUUAAGCAUAUCAAUAAGCGGAGGA